CCUACGGGCGGCAGCAGUGGGGAAUAUUGGACAAUGGGGGCAACCCUGAUCCAGCCAUGCCGCGUGUGUGAAGAAGGCCCUCGGGUUGUAAAGCACUUUCAGUGAGGAAGAACGCCUGGUGGUUAAUACCCAUCAGGAAAGACAUCACUCACAGAAGAAGCACCGGCUAACUCCGUGCCAGCAGCCGCGGUAAUACGGAGGGUGCGAGCGUUAAUCGGAAUUACUGGGCGUAAAGCGCGCGUAGGUGGCUUGAUGAGCCGGUUGUGAAAGCCCCGGGCUCAACCUGGGAACGGCAUCCGGAACUGUCAAGCUAGAGUGCAGGAGAGGAAGGUAGAAUUCCCGGUGUAGCGGUGAAAUGCGUAGAGAUCGGGAGGAAUACCAGUGGCGAAGGCGGCCUUCUGGACUGACACUGACACUGAGGUGUGAAAGCGUGGGUAGCAAACAGGAUUAGAUACCCCUGUAGUC
rnacentral:rRNA from 1 species